CCUACGGGAGGCUGCAGUGGGGAAUAUUGCACAAUGGGGGAAACCCUGAUGCAGCGACGCCGCGUGAGCGAUGAAGUAUCUCGGUAUGUAAAGCUCUAUCAGCAGGGAAGAAGAUGACGGUACCUGACUAUGAAGCUCCGGCUAACUACGUGCCAGCAGCCGCGGUAAUACGUAGGGGGCAAGCGUUAUCCGGAUUUACUGGGUGUAAAGGGAGCGUAGACGGGGUUGCAAGCCAGAUGUGAAAGCCCGGGGCUCAACCGCGGGACUGCAUUUGAAACUGUGUGGCUGGAGUGUCGGAGAGGCAGGCGGAAUUCAUGGUGUAGCGGUGAAAUGCUUAGAUAUUAGGAAGAACUCCAGUGGCGAAGGCGAGCUGCUGGACGGCGACUGACGUUGAGGCUCGAAAGCGUGGGGAGCAAACAGGAUUAGAUACCCUUGUAGUC
rnacentral:rRNA from 1 species